CCUACGGGUGGCAGCAGUGGGGAAUAUUGCACAAUGGGGGAAACCCUGAUGCAGCGACGCCGCGUGAGUGAAGAAGCGUUUCGGCGCGUACAGCUCUGUCAGCUGGGAAGAAACACGGUUCGCGAGAGCCGCGGACGGUACCCGACCAAGAAGCCCCGUCUAACUACGUGCCAGCAGCCGCGGUAAUACGUAGGGGUCAAGCUUUAUCUGGAUUCACUGGGUGUAAAGGGAGCGUAGACGGCGAGACAAUUCUGGAGUGAAAGGCCGGGGCCGAAACCCGGGACGCUUCUGGAACCUGCAUGGCUGGAGUACAGGAGAGGUAAGUGGAAUUCAUAGUGUAGCGGUGAAAUGCGUAGAUAUAGGAGGAACACCAGUGGCGAAGGCGGCUUACUGGACUGUAACUGACGUUGAGGCUCGAAAGCGUGGGGAGCAAACAGGAUUAGAUACCCCUGUAGUC
rnacentral:rRNA from 1 species